rnacentral:tRNA from 1 species
AAAGUGCCGGGAUAGCUCAGU